CAGCCGCCGCGGUAAUACGUAGGGUGCGAGCGUUAAUCGGAAUUACUGGGCGUAAAGCGUGCGCGGGCGGUUGUGUAAGACAGGUGUGAAAUCCCCGGGCUUAACCUGGGAACUGCGCUUGUGACUGCACAGCUAGAGUAUGGCAGAGGGGGGUGGAAUUCCACGUGUAGCAGUGAAAUGCGUAGAGAUGUGGAGGAACACCGAUGGCGAAGGCAGCCCCCUGGGCCAAUACUGACGCUCAUGCACGAAAGCGUGGGGAGCAAACAGGAUUAGAUACCCGGGUAGUCCCUGUCUCUUAUAC
rnacentral:rRNA from 1 species